rnacentral:rRNA from 1 species
UACGUAGGGGGCAAGCGUUAUCCGGAUUUACUGGGUGUAAAGGGAGCGUAGGCGGCAAGGCAAGCCAGAAGUGAAAGCCCGAGGCUCAACCACGGGACUGCUUUUGGAACUGUCUAGCUAGAUUGCAGGAGAGGUAAGUGGAAUUCCUAGUGUAGCGGUGAAAUGCGUAGAUAUUAGGAGGAACACCAGUGGCGAAGGCGGCUUACUGGACGGCAACUGACGCUGAGGCUCGAAAGCGUGGGGAGCAA